CUAAAAAUAACACACAAAAAAUCAAAAAAUUAGAAAUCCUUAACCCUAAAUCUCUAAUCUUAUCCCUCAAAAUUGGAAAUCCCUAAUCUAAAAUCUCCCCAAAUCCCUACUACUAGUCACACUGUCUGGCGUCCACCAGGUCACCCUCAUUGUUCGACGUUUGUUCGGCACUCACCUUGGAUUUUUCAGAAUGUCCACAGAACCAACAUUUGUUGAGGGUAGUGUUACAUCUCCUAAUUCGAUAGAUUCUGGAAAACCGAUAGGUGAAGCUUUAAGCCAAACAAAGGGGAUUGCUAGAAAAAGAAAAGCUAAAUGUAAUUAUUGUGAAAAGGAAUUUUGUUGUGAUGGAAAAAAAAUUGUAUGGGUCAUUGAAAUAUCAUAUCAGUUCAUGUAAGAAAAUCCUAGUAAUGUUGUUGACACUAACCAAAAACAACUAGUUUUACAUAGUAAGGGAGUUGAAGGGGCGAAAGGGCAUCUUCCAACUUGGAGAUUUGAUCAAGAAGUAUGUAGGAAAGGGUUAGCACAAAUGAUUGUGAUUGAUGAAUUACCUUUCAAAUUUGUUGAAAGUGAAGACUUUAGAAAAUUUAUGUUCAAGGCAUGUCCUAGGUUUCAUAUUCCUUCACGAACUACUAUCACUAAGGAUGUUUAUCAAUUGUAUUUAGAUGAAAGGGCCAAGAUAAAACAACUUUUGAAAAGUUCUUAUUCUA